GUCGAUGGGAAAAUGGUUAAUAUUCCAUUACUUCUGUGUAAUGCGAUGAGAGGACGGAGAAGGCUAAAUCAGCCUGGCGUUGGUUGUCCAGGUGAAAGGAUGUAGGCAUGUAUCUUAGGCAAAUCCGGGGUACUCUAUGCUGAGAUCUGAUAGCAAGCUGUACUUGUACAGCGAAGUGGUUGAUGCCAUGCUUCCAGGAAAAGUCUCUAAGCUUCAGUUACACAGGAAUCGUACCCGAAACCGACACAGGUGGUCAGGUCGAGUAGACCAAGGCGCUUGAGAGAACUCUGCUGAAGGAACUAGGCAAAAUGGUACCGUAACUUCGGGAGAAGGUACGCUGUUGUUGGUGAUGGAACUCGCUUCCUGAGCUGACGACAGCCGCAGAAACCAGGCCGCUGCAACUGUUUAUUAAAAACAUAGCACUCUGCAAACACGAAAGUGGACGUAUAGGGUGUGAUGCCUGCCCGGUGCUGGAAGGUUAAUUGAUGGGGUUAGCGUAAGCGAAGCUCUUGAUCGAAGCCCCAGUAAACGGCGGCCGUAACUAUAACGGUCCUAAGGUAGCGAAAUUCCUUGUCGGGUAAGUUCCGACCUGCACGAAUGGCAUAAUGAUGGCGGCGCUGUCUCCAGCAGAGGCUCAGUGAAAUCGAAAUCGCUGUGAAGAUGCAGUGUACCCGCGGCUAGACGGAAAGACCCCGUGAACCUUUACUGCAGCUUGACACUGAACUUUGACCUUACUUGUGUAGGAUAGGUGGGAGGCUUUGAAGCUGGAACGCUAGUUCCAGUGGAGCCGUCCUUGAAAUACCACCCUGGUAAUGUUGAGGUUCUAACUCUGUCCCGUGAUCCGGGACGAGGACCGUGUCUGGUGGGUAGUUUGACUGGGGCGGUCUCCUCCUAAAGAGUAACGGAGGAGUACGAAGGUGCGCUCAGCGUGGUCGGAAAUCACGCGUAGAGUAUAAAGGCAAAAGCGCGCUUAACUGCGAGACCCACAAGUCGAGCAGGUACGAAAGUAGGUCUUAGUGAUCCGGUGGUUCUGUAUGGAAGGGCCAUCGCUCAACGGAUAAAAGGUACUCUGGGGAUAACAGGCUGAUACCGCCCAAGAGUUCAUAUCGACGGCGGUGUUUGGCACCUCGAUGUCGGCUCAUCUCAUCCUGGGGCUGAAGCAGGUCCCAAGGGUAUGGCUGUUCGCCAUUUAAAGAGGUACGCGAGCUGGGUUUAGAACGUCGUGAGACAGUUCGGUCCCUAUCUACCGUGGGCGCUGGAAAUUUGAGAGGAUCUGCUCCUAGUACGAGAGGACCAGAGUGGACGAACCUCUGGUGUACCGGUUGUGACGCCAGUCGCAUCGCCGGGGAGCUAUGUUCGGAAGGGAUAACCGCUGAAAGCAUCUAAGCGGGAAGCCUACCUCAAGAUAAGAUUUCCCUAGGACUUUAUGUCCUCUAAAGAGCCGUUCGAGACUAGGACGUUGAUAGGUUGGAUGUGGAAGCAUAGUGAUAUGUGAAGCUGACCAAUACUAAUUGCUCGUGAGGCUUGACUAU
rnacentral:rRNA from 1 species